rnacentral:misc_RNA from 1 species
CUGCCCUCAAGCGCGGCUUGUGUGUUGGGCGUGGUCCCCCUAAUUGCGGGGGGACCUGCCCGAAAGGCAGCGGCGACGUUCCGCCCAGGUCCUCGAGCGUAUGGGGCUUUGUCACCCGCUCGGGACGGACCUGCGGGGCGUUGGUCAUCCACUAUUCUUUUAC